rnacentral:rRNA from 1 species
GACGAACGCUGGCGGCGUGCUUAACACAUGCAAGUCGAACGAAGAGCGAUGGAAGCUUGCUUCUAUCAAUCUUAGUGGCGAACGGGUGAGUAACGCGUAAUCAACCUGCCCUUCAGAGGGGGACAACAGUUGGAAACGACUGCUAAUACCGCAUACGAUCUAAUCUCGGCAUCGAGGAUAGAUGAAAGGUGGCCUCUACAUGUAAGCUAGCACUGAAGGAGGGGAUUGCGUCUGAUUAGCUAGUUGGAGGGGUAACGGCCCACCAAGGCGAUGAUCAGUAGCCGGUCUGAGAGGAUGAACGGCCACAUUGGGACUGAGACACGGCCCAGACUCCUACGGGAGGCAGCAGUGGGGAAUCUUCCGCAAUGGACGAAAGUCUGACGGAGCAACGCCGCGUGAGUGAUGACGGCCUUCGGGUUGUAAAGCUCUGUUAAUCGGGACGAAAGGCCUUCUUGCGAAUAGUGAGAAGGAUUGACGGUACCGGAAUAGAAAGCCACGGCUAACUACGUG